rnacentral:miRNA from 1 species
AGAUGCCCAGUUGGAUUGGAAUUUCAGAUAAACAAUGCAUCACUUUUUUAGGAUCAGUAUGUCCCAUGCAAUAUUUGGGACAUACUUAUACUAAAAAAAUACCCAUUUUCAACUGAAAAUCAACUUUAACUGGAAUCCUGUAUUUU